rnacentral:rRNA from 1 species
AACGAACGCUGGCGGCAGGCUUAACACAUGCAAGUCGAACGCCCCGCAAGGGGAGUGGCAGACGGGUGAGUAACGCGUGGGAAUCUACCCAGAUCUUCGGAACAACUGAGGGAAACUUCAGCUAAUACCGGAUACGCCCUACGGGGGAAAGAUUUAUCGGAUUUGGAUGAGCCCGCGUUGGAUUAGCUAGUUGGUGGGGUAAUGGCCUACCAAGGCGACGAUCCAUAGCUGGUCUGAGAGGAUGAUCAGCCACACUGGGACUGAGACACGGCCCAGACUCCUACGGGAGGCAGCAGUGGGGAAUAUUGGACAAUGGGCGAAAGCCUGAUCCAGCCAUGCCGCGUGAGUGAUGAAGGCCUUAGGGUUGUAAAGCUCUUUCAGUAGGGAGGAUAAUGACGGUACCUACAGAAGAAGCCCCGGCUAACUUCGUGCCAGCCGCCGCCGUAACAC